rnacentral:lncRNA from 1 species
CUCAUCUGCCAACAGCAAUAAUCUACUCAUUAAUGCACCCUAUUUGGGUUUCUCUCCCUCCCUUAUCUCUCUCUUCCCCCAACCUUCACUGUGCUCUCAGGGAUCGCCUCCCAAAUGAACUACAUAUACCCAAGUAUUUGCUUCGGAGACUGCUGCUUCUGAAAUCCAAGCAAGGCAAGAAGUCUGGAUGUUCAGCAAAGAAAUGUCCAAAAGUGAUGGGGUCAAUCAACAACGGACUGAAACAUCCAAAACUGUCAGCAGAAACUGAUUAUCUCAGGUAUUGUUAUGCUGAUGAAAACUAAGACAUUUCCCAACCAGAUACUAGCCAACUGACCACCACCUUUGCAGCUGAUACACGGCAGAAGACAUUAGUAUUUGCUGCUGAGUUUACUUCCUAUUCGGCAAUGCCACUGCUUGUUCUUAUUUCCUGCACAACUUUCUCACGCAGAGUGGCUGAUUCUUCUUGAUUUCUUCUUACCUCCUUUAACUGAGAAGCAAAUCAUCAGUGUAGGGUAAUAAAAGAUGGUAUUUAUUUCUUAACAUGCCACAGUGGAUAAUAUGUUACAAUAGGGAAAAAAGUGUGUUGGACUGAUUUGGUCUGAUUUGAGUUCUAAGUCGUUGACUGCCCAGUUAUGUGACCUCCAGCUAGUCACUGAGGCUUUGUGAACCUUUUCUUACAUCCAACUCAGAAAGUUGCAGGGAGAUUAAAAUGAGAUCAUUUAAGUUAAUCUACUUUGGAAAACAGUGCUAUUCAAUUGUGAAUACUUCUUUCCAGUUCCCAGCUGAAUUGCACCAACCAGAAAUGUAAGGCUGAUGUGGCACAGUUUGACACAAACAACACUUGCCAAAAAAUCAGGAGAAAUAACCACAGAAUGCUAGAUGGGGAGAAGAAAAACCACACCAAUCAUUCUUUCAAUUCUGAAUUCACUAACAAUGAGUCUUUUGCUGACUCCAUACACAGGCGCAAACCAGAACACCAGCAGCAGGAUCAAACUUCCACACAAAGGACAAUCUUGUGCUGGGCCUCAUGCUUCAACUUCCACAAAAUAGUGCCUGAAAGAUCUUGCAAAA